UAUUUAAUAUUGUUAAUUUGUUUUUAACAUGAUUGGUGAGGCGAAAUAUGUAUCGGAGAAAAAAGAAGAGAAGAGUUGAUGGGGAUGAAAGCUUUUGUGGAGAAAGAAGAUGAGUUGAUGUAUCUUAGUUUUUUUUAAAAUUUAACUCCUUGUUUAACUUCUUGGAUUAUUAGACUUUAUAAAUAUUUGAGUGUUGAACUUGUAUAAUAUUUUGGAGUCGUUUGAAGAA